GUGUAGCAUUUUUCAAUUUUUGUAAUCGUUUGACAAAAUGAAAAAUGCUCUAAAAAGGUUAAAGAAAUUGAUAUAAAAGAUAUUGAAAAAUAGAUAAUCAAAUUAUUUUUUCAUUCAUUGUUAACACUUUAGAAAUUUUGUUUUUAUGCUUUAAAUAUAAUACACAUGUGUGUAUGUGUGAACCCGUAAAUGCACAUUUAUAACCUAACCCCGAAAAGAUAGGAGAAGAGUAACGCACCAGCAAUUUUUUUACUGAUGUGGCACAGAAUAUCAUGCAAUCUUUAUUUCCCUUCCUAUGUCGUUAUUAACAUUCAGGUUAUCUUAAUAUUCUAUAUGUAUCUGUUAAAUCAAAUAGAUUAUUGGUAUGUUGAAUUCAUUGAUAAAGAUAUUUAAUUUUACUCUCAAGUUUAGUAUUGUUUUAAAAGUUAAUAAACAUUUAAUAUAAGAUCUGAGCCAUUUAUGAGUGUUAUGAUCAAGGUAUAACUAUGCCUGAUUUGAAAACGAAGUUGAGGUUUUUUAAAUGAGUAUGCAAAGCUGGUAACAAUAACAAAGUGAUCUAAGCCCCAACG
rnacentral:lncRNA from 1 species